GGAUGUGAUGGGGACCUGGCUACAGUAUCUUUCACCCAACUGAUCAUCAGGGUACAUUUAGAUGUUCUAACUGGCUAAGUAAGAACGCCUUCCUCCCUCCCCUGCCCUUGACCAAAGAGGAUGACCUUCCCAUACAGAAGAAGGACCCCAGUCUUGGUAUAUGAGUAGCUGUGCUUCCCUAUUAGAACCCCCAAACAAGCUCUCAUAUUCUUGGAUGUAACAUAAUUUUCUUUUUAUUUUAUGUGAUACUUUGAAUAAGAAA
ensembl:misc_RNA 7SK 7SK RNA